rnacentral:rRNA from 1 species
UGAGGAAUAUUGGUCAAUGGGGGCAACCCUGAACCAGCCAAGUCGCGUGAAGGAUGAAGGUCUUAUGGAUUGUAAACUUCUUUUACACGGGAAUAAAGUGGGGGACGUGUCCCCCUUUGCAUGUACCGUGUGAAUAAGGAUCGGCUAACUCCGUGCCAGCAGCCGCGGUAAUACGGAGGAUCCGAGCGUUAUCCGGAUUUAUUGGGUUUAAAGGGUGCGCAGGCGGGAUGUUAAGUCGGCGGUGAAAUUUUGCAGCUCAACUGUAAAAGUGCCUUCGAUACUGGCCUCCUUGAGUGUGGAUGAAGUAGGCGGAAUUUGUGGUGUGGCGGUGAAAUGCUUAGAUAUCACGAGGAACUCCGAUUGCGCAGGCAGCUUACUAAGCCACAACUGACGCUCAUGCACGAAGGCGUGGGGAUCAAACA